rnacentral:tRNA from 1 species
GCGGGCGUGGCGAAACCGGUGAGACGCAAAGGGCUUAAACCCCUUGGGGCCGCGAGGCCCAUGUGGGUUCGAAUCCCACCGCCCGCAC